UACGUAGGGUGCGAGCGUUAAUCGGAAUUACUGGGCGUAAAGCGUGCGCAGGCGGUCUUGUAAGACAGAGGUGAAAUCCCCGGGCUCAACCUGGGAACUGCCUUUGUGACUGCAAGGCUUGAGUGCGGCAGAGGGGGAUGGAAUUCCGCGUGUAGCAGUGAAAUGCGUAGAUAUGCGGAGGAACACCGAUGGCGAAGGCAAUCCCCUGGGCCUGCACUGACGCUCAUGCACGAAAGCGUGGGGAGCGAAA
rnacentral:rRNA from 1 species